CUUAGUCCAGUCUUAGUCUUAGUCCAGUCUUAGUGACUGGACUAAGACUGGACUAAGACUAAGACUGGACUA
rnacentral:pre_miRNA from 1 species